CUUCAACCCAAUUCUGGCCCAGCUGAGCCAAACAAGCCUACAAGCAAACAUUUACAGAGCCUGUGGGCGUGGUUACAAAGCCUCUCUGACCUGGAGAGGGGAGAAUGCCACGUUUCCUCUCGUGUUUGGGCUCUCCCCAGGUUGUUGCUCAGACAGUCAAACCACAGCCUUCUCCUCUACCUGGCAAUUAAUCCUGCUGUGCCCUGCAACCUGGGUUGGGUCUUACUCUGCCAGGGACUGAAGCAAGAAGAGACGGGCCGCCGGGCGUGUUAUCGCUUGUCUCUGGGGCAGAGAGGCGGUUGCGACAGAGCCCCUGCGUGCGUGUGGACGUGCCUGCGUGGAGCGAUGAGCACACCAAGACGGAGGUUCAGUAUCUUGCCGAAAAUUGAGAGGAGAAGCUAGGAAUAAGACCAGCUCUGUCUCCCAAUCCACCCCACAGCUUUCGAUGGUACUCAGUGGUGCACCCUUGGACCCCGAUGGUGUGGGCAGUUCUCCCACAGGUCUGGCCCGAGUCUUUCCUACUCUCGUCUGAAUUGGAUCAGAUGGAAGGACCAUGUCAGUAGGUCAGUUCUGCUCCCAACCCAGCCUCAAGAGACAUCACCCAUCCCUUGGUACAGGUGGUAGCCUUCCAGUUACUGGGGUGGGGAAUGUUUGCCUUCUGUUAAUGAAAAGAAAUAGAUGUGAUAAUAAAUAAAUGCCCAACCCAGUGCAGCAA